CUCACUCCCGUGGGAUUCAGGCAUGGAAAACUCCUGUUCUUCACCCUCAUAUCCUCCCUGGAUGUGGGAGAACAUCUGUGGUGUGGUUUUCUUCUUAUUUCAUUUGAAAUAAACUGAACCCCUCAUUUGCAGUGGUUCCUAAGCAACAAAGUAGAGGGGGAAAAGCCAAACAAGCAGCAGGUAAUUUGUGUCUCCUUGUUGGAGCCUUUAAAGGAUGUUAAUCCGUGGCUCUGGAGUCUCUGACAGGGGGAGGAUGCUCGCAGCAAGGAGCUGUUAAUUCCUCUUUGCAACCUGCAGCCUUGGAUUUCAAACUUUGUGUCUUCCCUGGCCCUUCCUGAGCGCUGGAGAGGAGCUGGAGUUCAGCUGAUUCCACUGGAGCACUGAACAGAGGUGCUGCUGAGCACCUCCCCAGCCCCUGGGGGACGAGAAGCAGCAAGAGCAGUUAAUUCUCCACCUGGCAUGAGAACACUUCUCUCCUUUCCAGCACCGAGGAGAAAUCCAGAGUAAUCCUAUUUUUGGUCUGGCUGAUAAUUGCACUCUUGCUGGCUGCAUAUUGAUGAACAGCGUUUUCAACAUCCCUAAUGAAUUUUUAUCAACAAGCACAAGGGGUUGUGUCUGCUGGCAGAGGUUUUUUAGCACUCCUCAGAGGCAUUUGAUGAGUGGAUGA
rnacentral:lncRNA from 1 species